GCCCUGAAGGCACUGAUAAGGCCUUAAUGGUCCUGACCAGCCUCACCUGGGGCCUCCACCUCCACCCUCUUCCCAUGGCCUCAGGAGCUCCAUUUAAGCUUAGCCCUGGCCACUUGGCUGCUUUCUGCCUGUCUCCAGUCCUGCUCCUGGUCCUGCCUCUGGGAUAGACCUCAAGCCUUUGUGAUGGAUCGUGUUUACUGCUGCUGGUGAUGUGGAGGCAGGCUCCUUCCCAUGGGCUGAAGUGACUUCGUGGUCCCCUUUGGAGCAUCCUGUGCUUCCAGUCGUGGCUCAGCUGUCGUGAGCAACCCAUGAGCUCACUGCAUGCUGUGGGGUUUCUCAUGGAGAUUUGUCCUCUUCUCCCCUGGGCUGUGAAAGGUUGGGCAGGGCUGCUCCCAGCAUGGGGCUGGGCAUCACUCCCACCUCCACCUUCCUGCGCAACUCUUGGCAUCAGGCUGUGAAGCUGGGAGUGGUGCUGGCAGCAUGCCUGUCAGAUAAUGUCCUGCUCCUCAGUGCCCCAGAUCUCUGCUCUUCUAUGCCCUAAAACAGCCCUUCUUGAUGCCCUAGAUCCUAGCUCCUUGGUCACCUAGCCCUCUGCUCCUCUAUGCCCUCGAGUUCUGCUUCUUGCUUAACCUACAUCGUGGCUCCUCGACUGCCAUCAUCUCUGCUCCUCCAUGCCCUACAUCUCAGCUCUUUGCCCACAUCCUGGCUCUCUGUUCCUUGAUUAUCUAGAUCUCUGCCCUAGAUUUACACUUAUCAGUGCCCUAGAUCUCUGCUUGCUGCAAAGACCGUGCCUCUCCCAGCUGAUGGCUCCUGCACUGCUUCCAGCUCUUUGACAGCAACUGGAUGCCUUCCCCUUGGGAUUUGGCUGUGGUGAGCGCCUGUCCCAUCCGUAAAGUAACACAAACAUUUCUGCCCUCUGUUGUGUACAUUUAAACCAUGGUGCCCGUGGGACAGCUGUCUCUCCAGCACUGUGUGUUUGGGGUGUGCAUUCCCAAAUGAUGAGGAUGGGGGAAGGUGCAGGAGCUGGGAGCUGGCUGAGCAUCCUGAUGGCCCCUCUGCCCCCAGCGACCUUGGGCUUGCCUCUCACAGCUCAUUACAGCCUGCCUUUGAUCACUCGUCUCUCCCCCUCUCUGCACUUGGAAAUGCUGGAGAGCCUUCCUGCCUGAUAUUAUCGAAAAGGACAUUUUUAUUUCCAAAAUAUACAGUGUAAUUAGAACUGCAAAGGGAGAGAGCAGACAGUUCAUAAAAACACCCGCUCUGCGACAGUCUCUGUCCUGACCCCGUGGGAACCGGGGACAAAAGACUCCUGGGUCUCAGUGGGAACAGGGCAGUUUCCCAAACAAUGGGGAUCCCCCUCAGGUCCCAGCCAAAAAGGAAUUCCUCCUCUGCGUGGGAAGGGUUUGGUGUGGAAAUGAUCUCACACACAGUUGAGCAUGUUUUGCCAAGCUGGGACCCGUUGCAAGCAUCUAUUGAGUAACUGCAAGCAGCAGCAGAGCAAGCCUCAUCUAUCCUCAUGCACGCACACCUGAUUGAGUGGCUGAAGGCCCCACUGUUACCCAGAGCAUUGCUAGUACAUGCUCUAAAGGUGAAUUUGGAGUUUUCCAAGGCUCUCUCCUGCAGACAAUGGGGCAGGUCCAUCCCACAGAGCAGGAGGACAGCGAUUCACCCCUCUGCCGGCUGCUGGCUGUGGGCAGGGGCUGCCUAAGGAAUACCGAGGUCCAGCAGCUCCUGUCUCUACAGGAAACAGCCAACAUCUUAAAAAUUGAUGGGGGUUCAUUUCCUGCCUCUGUGCACUUAAAGCACCAGCUCUGCCAUUACCAGCAAUGUCCACAUUAAUUACUAUCAGAGCCCGAGUACUUUUGUGUGCGCUGCCUCGCCUGCAGAGUCUGUCCCAGCAGUGACCUGCAUUUUGUUCCCCUUGAGACCUUGCCCAUGGCUGGGAUUUCCAGAGCUGCUGCAGGCACGAGAACAAGGCUGGUGCUGGGGUAGCCCCUGGGGAGGAGGAGAGGCAGGAGGAAAGGCAGAGUGGUCAGCUCUGGUCCAGGCUCAGAGGCUCACCUGGAGCAUGGGGGUUUCCUUUGCCCCCUCCCUGGAUCUCCCUGAGCAGCAGCACCUCUGGGGCUGGGGCUUCUCCACUUCGAGUAAAUGACAAAUGUUCAUUGGGAGCAAGAGGCUUACUCCACGGCGGGGUGGUGGAAGUGCUUCCCCCAGGAUGCAUCAAGUCCCUUUAGAUCUGAGCCCCAGGAGCCAGCCUUCAGCUUUCCACCAGUAAGUCCUUCUGGACAGAAACCUCCAGUUUUUAACAGAAAAAAAUCUAGGCAUGGAAAAAUGCCUAGCUCCUAGGGGUGGGGCCAGGCCAUGCUGGUCUGCUUUUCAGUACCCUGCGGACUGCAGAAAAUUACUAAUUCUCGUCUUUUUUUCCUUUCCUUUCCUUUUUUUUUUUUUUUCCAUGAAAUGAUGAUUAUCCAGUGUUAAACACAAAUGUGUCUUAGACUGUGAAAUGAUGUGCAUGAAAGAGAUAAAACACUAAAAACUUAAGAGGCAAUGGGAGCCAGCAACUUAAAGGAUCAUUGAAAAGCCCUCUUCAGCACAGACCAAAUGGCAUCCAACCCAUGUAUCACACAGCCUUGUCAAAAGCCUGACCAAGGGUGUACUUCGAGUACAUGAACCCACCAAAAUGAGGACUGGGAGGAGACUGACAAGACACAACCUACACUCAGGACACUUCACUGCUGCCAUUUUCAGUUCACCUCCAAACCCCAUGGGAGCCACCAGGCCUGCUGGUGAUUGGUGGCAAAGCCUCAGAAAAAGGUCUAGGAAUUAUAUCGGGUUAGGGCUGGGUGUGAGUUAUCAGUGUCACAUCAAGAGGCAGACAGCGCCUGGGGUGUGCGAGCAGCAGCGCAGCCUACAAGGCUCUCUACAUCAUCUUUCUGUCCCGUUCAGAGCUGGUGAGGUCUGUGCUGGAGCAGGGUCUGAACUCAUAUCAAAAGGGAGGCAGCGCUGCUGCAGACAGCACGGGGGAAACACUGAGAAUGAUCAGAGGUCUAGGAGACAUGACCUACAAAGAAAGAUUGAAAGAACUGGGUUAUUUAGCCUAAAAGAGAUGAUGGAAGAAGAGAUGUGAUAACAGUCUUCAAGUGCUUAAAAGGCGGCUGCCAAGAGGAAGAGAAUAAUCUGUUCUUUAUGUCCAUGGUGGACAGGACAAGAAAUAAUCGGCUUAAAUUACAGCGAGAGAAAUCAGUCACCCUGUUGCAAGACAGAGCCGAGCACCCAGCCACACCACACAGACAAGCCAAAAUAACACCAUCCAAACAGCACCUGCUUGAUAACCUCCGUGCUCAAAACAUCAAUGCGAUUGAGCUCUCCCCUCCAAACAAUUAGGUGGAGUUGAACCACAGCUUUCUGAGCAGACAGACUUGCCCUGAGAUGUUUUUGAAUCGGCUCAGAGGAUUCUUGCCACCGGAGAGGCAAGAAGAAAGAAAAACCAGGCAGCCACGUGUCUGGGAGCAGCGCUGCUCGAGCUGCUUCCAGCGGCAGCUCUGCGGUGCUGAGUGCGCACCACUGGCUGAAGACUGAGAGAUGCUGUGUUCUGGGGAGAAAUUAUUAUUACCCCCCGGAUUCCAAAAGCAAUCCUUUAUUUUAAAACCUGCCUCCUAAUUCAUUUUAUAUUUACCCAUAAAAUCUUGGCCGGGGUUUCUGAGAGCUGCAGUCUCUCAGAAAGGCCAAGUUUC